GCAGCAGCAGCAGGAGCAGGAGCACAUGGGAGUGAUAGCAUGGAAAAAAUGUGAUGACCAGGAGCUUGUUUUCAUUACACUGACUGAAACCUCGGCACUGUGAGGCAGGCGUGUGCUGGCUGACAUCUCCAGAGGUUAAAAGCUGUUUGCUUUCCAUUUUUCCUCCAUUUGUAAAGUCUGACUCGAGUUGUGUUCAAAUUCAAGUUGUUCUACAGCUUGUUUCACAUGAAUCUGUCGUUCAUUUACUAAAAAACAUAACACUCGUAAUCAAACUUGUAGUGGAUUAACCACAUUUCCACUCGCUGCGGCAUUGUGUUGAUCUGUGUAACGCCUGAGUUAACUUCAAUUACUGAUUCCUUCCUCCUGCAGAACAAGAUGUGUGUUAACUACCAACAUCCUCCCCCUUUUUGUUUUCAUUUCACAGCCAUUGUAGACGCUGUCCAUUGCUUGGCAGGCGAGCGCAGCGACUCCUGGACUCUGACACUGUGGAUCACAUUUAACUAUUAAAUAGGGCUGUUUUACUUGGAGCGCACUGACUGACUGUUUCAGCCACAUGUUCCAGUUCAUGGGCGCCUGAACAGGGGCGCGUGCUUCCUCCCCAGUUUACACUCCAGUGACACGACCCGGAGAGGCCAAACACUUGCUCUGUGAGACACAAACCAGCCUGUCCCACCUGCACUGAUUAGAUAGGAAGGUUGGAGCCGCAGAGGGUUAAAUACAUGGAGGUAGUGCAGAGGGCAGUGUUUUGUUUAAACUUUUAUUUCCUUUCUCAGCGUUUCUUUUCUCAUUUUCCUGCCAUUUUUCGCAUGCCUUUUUCUUCUUUUUCCAUGUAGUGCUGAGUACAACCAGGACAGACUAGAAGAAAACUACCAAGGUGUACAGGAAUGACUUAUUAUAACAGCAACAGGGUGUCUUCUACUCUGCUCUUUUACUCUUUUUUCCACAAGUAUGAAUUCUAUCACUACAUUUCCAGGUCACUGACAGCUAUUUUUAGCUCCUCUCUUUUUUGCAGAGGAAAGGAAUCACACACAGCUUCAGAUAUAGAGGCAAGAAAGAGACUCAUUCCAGAAAAACUGAGUUUGUUUGAGCUGUGGUUCCUUUGGCGCCGGAGAUGUGGCUGCCGGGAACACCUUCACUUCACACUCACACACACACACACGCACACACACACCUGAGGUCUGCAGAAGAAGCAGCCAAUCGACACUGAGCUUGUUCAGAAGAGGACCCCACCUCAUCUUCUAGUAAUGUGCAGUUUCAGGAGUUAGUAAGCUCAGCCUUGCUCAAAAGAUUUAGCUUGGCUGAGCCUCCACGCUGUUUUUCUUCUCCUCUGGCUCAGGAGGUUAAAUAGUGUCAGAGUCAGUUGCACUGACUUUGUCUGGGCCAGAAGUGAGACUACUCCCACAAAAGGCAACACUUUUCUAAUAGGCUCCUCAGCAAUAUUUCCUUGGGUAGACUGUGAGCUUAAAAGUGUAUUUAUUAGUUCUGAUUCAACACAGAGUGGGUUUAUUGACCCAGGAUUUGCACGAUUUGUUUUCUAUGAAAAGGUGUAAAAACACCUCAGAGGUUAUCCUGCUUUCGCUGCUGACUCCUUGUUUUUGUCUGUUGGGGAGAAAUCCCUCCAUCUGGUUGUGGGUCUGAUUAAAGGCGAUCAUUAAAGCAUCAAUGUGCCUCCCUCAUAGACCUAAACCUCUGCCCGCCCCUGAGGGGAAAAAAAGAGAAAAUAAAGCAUCCUUCAUUACGCCGCCCCCCCCUCACCUCCUACUCCUCCUGCAGUCCCUCUCCCCCCUUGAGCACUAUCCCUUUCCUGUGCUGUUUUGAUGUGUAAAUGAGCGCAUUGAAAACCUGCAGGCCCCCAAAGAGAUGCUUUCCAUGAAAAUGCGGCAGUCAGAGAGCACAAGAGUUCACACAGCUCGCCACUCCUCGCAACUAGACUCCAAUCAGACGCACAGUAUGGCUGCUGCUGUCCUACAAACACACAAUCGCACAGCCACAUGCUGACUCACAUCGCUAUGCAGACAUAAACAUUUACACGGGGAGGUAAAAAGUUGCACAGGCCAGUUUGAAGUGACUUUUUUUUCUUUUUUCUUUUUGGUUGAAACGAGGAUUCAGUUUCAAGUGUGUGAGGGGAAAACAGCAGCUGAAAUAGUUCUGUAGUAUCUAUCACGUCCC